CCCCAGAGCAUGCCAAGGCGGUGGCAACGGCCAACUUGCUACCCCGGCUCCUUGAGCUCUACAUGGAUGCUGGCAGCUCAUGGAUCUGCAGGCCAAAAGUAAGAAGGUCCUGAAGGGGAUCCUGCAGAAGUCCACCUCCCCGCAGAGCCUGGAGCCACUUCUCUACGACGCUCGCACCAGCAUCCUCAAACACGUCCUCUGCCAGCUCAGCAAGGUGCUGCCUCACGACAGCAAGGCCCGUCGGGUGUUUUACCAUUGGAGGACUGGAGAGGGAGGCGGAGCCUGACUCUGAGCUGCAGAAGCACAUCAACACCAUCACCAGCUGCUUCCCUGAAGGACCCGUGUUCAGCAACCUACCCCGUGUUUGACAGUUUUGGCGGCGUGGGCAGCUUUCUUCUUGGCGUCAUAAUGCUGCAGGAUGUCUA